rnacentral:lncRNA from 1 species
CUGCGGGAGUUUCUCUCUACAUUGAAGACCCAUUGGUGGCCUUCGGCUGUUGUCUGCUCUAUGGUCGGGUUGUUGUCGCUUUGACACAUUCCCCAUUUCCUUUCUCAAUUUUACAUAUACAACUUUUUUUAAUUCAUACAUACCCUUGCUUAAAAUAAAAAAUACAUAUAUGAAUAUUUGCCUAUCAACACAUGAAACAUGAUAAAUAUCUAUAUAGAUUCAGAAAA